UACGUAGGGUGCAAGCGUUUAAUCGGAAUUACUGGGCGUAAAGCGUGCGCAGGCGGUUCGCUAAGACAGAUGUGAAAUCCCCCGGGCUUUAACCUGGGAACUGCAUUUGUGACUGGCGGGCUAGAGUAUGGCAGAGGGGGGGUAGAAUUCCACGUGUAGCAGUGAAAUGCGUAGAGAUGUGGAGGAAUACCGAUGGCGAAGGCAGCCCCCCUGGGCCAAUACUGACGCUCAUGCACGAAAGCGUGGGGAGCAAACAGG
rnacentral:rRNA from 1 species